rnacentral:rRNA from 1 species
GGAUCGUAAAGCUCUGUUGUUAGGGAAGAACAAGUGCGAGAGUAACUGCUCGCACCAUGACGGUACCUAACCAGAAAGCCACGGCUAACUACGUGCCAGCAGCCGCGGUAAUACGUAGGUGGCAAGCGUUGUCCGGAAUUAUUGGGCGUAAAGGGCUCGCAGGCGGUUUCUUAAGUCUGAUGUGAAAGCCCCCGGCUCAACCGGGGAGGGUCAUUGGAAACUGGGAAACUUGAGUGCAGAAGAGGAGAGUGGAAUUCCACGUGUAGCGGUGAAAUGCGUAGAGAUGUGGAGGAACACCAGUGGCGAAGGCGACUCUCUGGUCUGUAACUGACGCUGAGGAGCGAAA